rnacentral:precursor_RNA from 1 species
AACAGACUCGAUCUCCUAGAGUAGAGCCUGUGGAGUGGGUACGAGACAGAUGAUGCUGUCUUUAUUGUGACAAUCUCAUAAAAUCGAUCGUACCGAUCAAUUUGAUUAUUCAUGAUCAUUGUUGAUGAUAUGAUUUGAAGCUUUAGGGACAGUUCCAUUGCCAUGCCUCAUCCAAACAUGCCUUAAAAAUUAACCUCAAGGGCUGGCUCAAAGUAGUAAGGGUCUUAGUUUUUGUGGAUCUCCAUCAGGUUUAGGGUUCAAAUUUUCUUGGGUGUAAAUAAUUUUUUGGAGUUACUCCAGUUGGUGAAGCCCUAGAAAAGGUUCCCCGUUAAAAAAAAAAAAAAGCCUUAAAAAGUCAAUUUAAAUGAUAGUUAUGAAUCUUAAUCAGAAAUUUUCGGUUUGAACAAAGAAUUAGAUAGUGAGUUGACAAAGUAAUACAUUCUGAGUGGGAGACAAGGACAGCCCAUUUUGCAUCUAUCUUUUGCAGCAAGGUCAAAAAGCGUGUAGGGGAAGCACAUGAUCUCCAUAGUCAAACAAAGCUAUCCAUAUACUCAGCAAAAGAAGCAUAGUAAAUACGAUAAAUUCCGCUUUGAAAACUUGAACUUGGAGGGCUCUAGAGGCCUUGUUUUGGACACAAAGGGUACUUUUGUCACAAAACUGCAACAACAAAAGCAUGGAUCAUAUGGAAAAUCCUGCAAACGAGUGCAUAUAGAAAUUAGGCUAGAGAAGAAAAAGAAGCGCCCACCAUAUCCCCACAGGCCGUACAACACCAUGCACGCUCAUGCACCCGCUUUCUACAAAAAGCCGCUCCCAAUUCAAAAGCCAUGACAAAAAUAUCUCCCUUCCUCAUUCUACAAAGGCUUCUGUACUUCUCUCUCUCUCUAGGGUUUCUCAGGGGCCUUGUUGCAGAGCCAAUUUGGCAUUCUGUCCACCUCCAUCAAAUGGGCUCUGUAAAAGCUUUUGGAGGCGGCCAGCAUGUCAAAUGGGCUCUGUAAAUUUCUCUCUGAGACACCCCAUUAGAAGAAAAACUCCUUAAUUAGAAUCAGUUUGCUGAAACUCAAAUUAUUGCCUGUCUGUCGUAUUUUCUUUUGGGCCUGAAAAAGUUAUUUUUCGUUCAUGCAUUUUAUUUUUUUAUUUUUUUU